UACGGGGGGAGCAAGCGUUGUUCGGAUUUACUGGGCGUAAAGGGCGCGUAGGCGGUCAGCACAAGUCAGUUGUGAAAUCUCCGGGCUUAACUCGGAAAGGUCAACUGAUACUGUGCGACUAGAGUGCAGAAGGGGCAACUGGAAUUCUCGGUGUAGCGGUGAAAUGCGUAGAUAUCGAGAGGAACACCUGCGGCGAAGGCGGGUUGCCUGGGCUGACACGUGACGCUGAGUGAGCGAAAGCCAGGGGAGCAAAGCGGG
rnacentral:rRNA from 1 species